rnacentral:rRNA from 1 species
UACGUAGGGCGCAAGCGUUAUCCGGAAUUAUUGGGCGUAAAGAGCUCGUAGGCGGUUUGUCGCGUCUGCCGUGAAAGGUCCGGGGCUCAACUCCGGAUCUGCGGUGGGUACGGGCAGACUAGAGUGAUGUAGGGGAGACUGGAAUUCCUGGUGUAGCGGUGAAAUGCGCAGAUAUCAGGAGGAACACCGGUGGCGAAGGCGGGUCUCUGGGCCGAUACUGACGCUGGAGGAGCGAAAGCAUGGGUAGCGAACAGG